UUGGUCAUAGCCUUUCUAUUAGUUAAUAGUAAAAUUACACAUGCAAGAAUCCCCAUUCCAGUGAAUACGCCCUUUUUACCGUUAUUGGUAGUUUCUAAGGAGCUGGUAUCAGGCACACUGACUUUAAUAGUAGCCCACAACGCCUCGCCUAGCCACACCCCUACGGGACACAGCAGUGAUAAAAAUUAAGCAAUAAAUGAAAAUUUGACUAAGUUAUACUAUUAAGAACUGGUAAAUUUCGUGCCAGCCACCGCGGUCAUACGAUUAGAUCAAACUAAUAGACAUUUCGGCGUAAAGCGUGUUUUAGAAAUAAAUCAAUAAUAAAACUAAACUAUAGCUAAACUGUAAAAAGUCCUAGUUACUGUAAAAUACACUACGAAAGUGGUUUUAAAAUAUCUGACUACACGAUAACUAAGAUCCAAACUGGGAUUAGAUACCCCACUAUGCUUAGUCUUAAAUAUAAAAAAUCAUCUAACAAACUUAUUCGCCAGAGAACUACAAGCAAUAGCUUAAAACUCAAAGGACCUGGCGGUGCCUUAGAUCCCUCUAGAGGAGCCUGUUCUAUAAUCGAUAAACCCCGUUAAACCUCACCAAUCCUUGCAAAUCAGCCUAUAUACCGCCAUCUUCAGCAAACCCUAAAAAGGAAUUAUAGUAAGCACAAUCAUUAACAUAAAAACGUUAGGUCAAGGUGUAGCCUAUGGAUUGGAGAGAAAUGGGCUACAUUUCUCGAAUCGAGAAAAACAAUUACGAAAACCUAUGUGAAACCAAAAGUUAAAGGUGGAUUUAGCAGUAAAUUAAGAAUAGAGAGCUUAAUUGAAUAAGGCCAUAAGGCACGUACACACCGCCCGUCACCCUCCUCAAAUAAUAUAAUAUACUACAUAUUAUAAUUAAUUAAUAGUAUUAAUUUAUGAGAAGAGACAAGUCGUAACAAGGUAAGUGUACUGGAAAGUGCACUUGGAUAACA
rnacentral:ncRNA from 1 species